AUGGAUGGUGUUCUCUCACUUCAUGAAAUCCUUAAUUACACUCACAUGAAAAAGAGGGUUGGCGUGGUGUUGAAACUGGAUUUCGAGAAAGCUUAUGAUAAGGUUAACUGGGAUUUCUUAUUAGAAUGUCAUAAACUGCGAGGAUUCAAUGAAACCUGGUGUGGGUGGAUUAACCAGAUUCUUCGGAAUGGCACGGUUAGCAUUAAAUUGAAUAACUGUGUGGGGCCGUACUUCCAAAGUGCUAAAGGGGUACGGCAAGGCGACCCUCACUCUCCAUUCCUGUUUAACUUAGCUGCCGAAUGCCUCACGAAAAUGAUCAAAAAUGCCCAACGUAAUAAGCUGCUGGUUGGUUUAGCUGCGGAUCUGAUCCCCGAUGGGGUUGCGAUUCUCCAAUACGCAGAUGACACAAUAAUCUGUCUCGAACAUGACAUCGACAGAGCAGUCAAACUGAAGUUGCUGUUGUAUAUGUUUGAAAUGAUGUCUGGGUUGAAAGUCAACUUUCAAAAAAGUGAGAUUUUGACUGUGGGGGGAGAUGAUGCUGUGAUUAAGCAAUAUGCCGACCUCUUCAAUUGUGAUAUAGGUAGCUUCGCCAUCAAAUACCUGGGCAUGCCCGUUAGUUAUACCACCUUGAGAAACUCUGAUUGGGAGUUCAUUGUCUGCAAAUAUCUAAAGAGAUUUGAAGCUUGGGUGGGCAAUGCUGCCUCCAUGGGAGGGAGACACACUUUAUUUUACUCUGUUGUCACCCAGUUAUCGCUGUAUCAUAUGUCUAUGUGGUUGAUGAACAAGACGUUCAUUGAAAACCUGGAUAAGCAUAGAAGAAGAUUCUUCUGGCAAGGGUGUAACAAGAAAAAAAGAAAUUACCUUGUGAAAUGGAGUAGAAUCUGCAGAUCUAAAGAGAAGGGCGGUCUAGGGAUUAAAGACCUGCGCAAACAGAAUAUCAGUCUGAUGGUAAAAUGGUGGUGGAAGCUAGAAACACAAAGUGGGGUGUGGCAAGAUAUUGUUCAUGCUCGCUACUUGCGGAAUAGGACAGUAGCUGAUGUUGGCCCAAGAUUUUCUGACUCUCCUUGUUGGAAAGCCCUGCUGAAAGUCAAGGAAAUUUACAUGGCUGGUAGGAAGAUUAAUAUUGAAUCUGGGAACAUUGCUAGGGUGUGGAGUGAUCCUAUUAACGGACUGCUUCCGUUUCAAGGAUCAAUACCCUCAGCUAUUUGA
rnacentral:rRNA from 1 species